CUGGGUUUGAACUGUACAGGAAAGUCUCAGAGAUGAGAGCCCCUCUUCGGAGGACUGUAUAGAGGUGCUGCAUGGCUGUCGUCAGCUCGUGUCGUGAGAUGUUGGGUUAAGUCCCGCAACGAGCGCAACCCUUAUUCAUAGUUACUAACGCGUCAUGGCGAGAACUCUAUGGAGACUGCCGGUGAUAAACCGGAGAAAGGUGGGGAUGACGUCAAGUCCUCAUGGCCUUUAUGUCCAGGGCUACACACGUGCUACAAUGGACGGUACAGAGAGUCGCGAUGCCGCAAGGUGGAGCUAAUCUCAAAAAGCCGUUCUCAGUUCGGAUUGCAGUCUGCAACUCGACUGCAUGAAGUUGGAAUCGCUAGUAAUCGCGGAUCAGCACGCCGCGGUGAAUACGUUCCCGGGCCUUGUACACACCGCCCGUCACAUCACGAAAGUCGGUUGCACUAGAAGUCGGUGGGCUAACCCGCAAGGGAGGCAGCCGCCUAAAGUGUGAUCGGUAAUUGGGGUG
rnacentral:rRNA from 1 species